rnacentral:lncRNA from 1 species
ACCAAAGGGCUCUGGGGCAGGUGUCAGUGCCCCAGGCGGGGAGAGGCUGUGUAAUUAUGGAAGGAUAAUACCCACCCCAGGGACUACUUCAUUUCCCAUCCCUAAGGAACUCUUCACCAAUCAGAAAAGAGAAUUCUUUAACAACAGCUCUCCACCCCCUGGCCAGGAACCACUCAUAGCUUCUCAGAACAUGUUUCUGGGCAGGUGGGAGCAAAGCCAGAAAGGAAAACGAACCCCGGGCAGAACCAGAGACACAAGAGCUCUGUGGCCCUGACCCUGGUAGAUAAUCCACCAGGCUCUCAAGCUAGGACCAUUUCACUGCAAGCCAAGGACCUGGUUUGCUGCAUGUUGUCCUGCCUUGCAGGCUGGCAAGAAGCUGAGCCUCUGGGCUUUGCCCACUGAUAUGGAACUGGCUCUGGGAGAUCACCCCAGCGAUGACAGAUGCACAGGGUGGCCAUCUGGAAGUGCCCCUGUCCUCAGGGAUGCUUCAAACAAAGGUUAAUGUGUCAAGAGGGAUUCAUAAAGUCGGAGACCUCCAUGGGGCUUUGAGAACAUCUCUACAUCUCCAGAUGAGCCACCUAAACUGAUCUGAAAGAACUAUGCUCAUGACGUUCUUCCUGACAUCUGCACUAAUCCCUUCUGCUGAUUUAACUUCAAACCUGUUCCUUCUUGUCAUUUCGGUGAAUAAAAACAGCACUUCCUACCAUGCCCCUGAUCGGCUUCUAUGAAGAAAACCUGUUGUCAAAUCUCUGCGGCCCACUCAGUGUCCUCUGAUGCUGGCUAAAGGGAGCCCUAAUCAUUUGCAUUUGCUCAAGAAUCAAAUUGCUCAAGGCCCAGAUGGACCCCCCAGGACUCUUCUCCUGUGCAUUCUCCAGCUUCUCCAUCCCAGACAGAAAGCCUGUUCCUUCCAACAGACAUCUCCGGUAAAGCCCUGAGAUUACCUCGCUCACCCACAAGCAACGUGCUCCUAUUUAUAAACUCAAGACUCAGCUUGGUACUACCCUGGAGUGCUGAUUCACGGUGUUAUGACCAAAUUGUAUUUUGCCUUUACUGUAAAUAAGUACAAAGAAAAAAGUUUGUACUGUCUGUUUCCUAAUCUCUUUCGGCUCUUCACCAAGAGAAAACUUUCCUUCUAUAAAUGGAUCCCAGACUGAUCAUGGAUCUUUUCAGGAAUAUGAGUGUGGAGAAGAAACGAGAUUGAUUUUAAUAGUGUGCAAAUUUAAAAUGAGAUAAGUAUAGCUAAUGUCCUAAAGCCCUCAUUUAGAAAAUGGCCUUUAGCUUUGAAUAGAACUUGCCUUUCUAAUGAUAAAAUAAUAAGAAUAGUAUUUAUUGAACACUCACCACAUGCCAGGCACUGUGCUAAGCAUUUUGCUUCUGCUUAUUUAAUUAUUCAUAGUAACUCUAUAAGAUAGGUACCAUGAUUGCCCCAUUUUUACAGAGGAGAAAACUGAGAAACUGAAUCUCCUUGUAGCAACACGAAUGGAUCUUAAAAACAUAAUGCUGGCUGGGCGUGGUGGCUCACGCCUGUGAUCCCAGCACUUUGGGAGUCCGAGGCGGGCAGAUCAGGACGUCAGGAGUUUGAGACCAGCCUGGCCAACAGAAUGAGAGCCCACCUCUACUAAAAAUACAAAAAAUUAGCUGGGCAUGGUGGCGGGAGCCUGUAAUCCCAGCUACUCAGGAGGCUGAGGCAGGAGAAUCGCUUGAACCUGGGAGGUGGAGGUUGCAGGGAGCCAAGAUCAUGCCAUUGCACUCCAGCCUGGGUGACAGUGUGAGACUCCAUCCCAAAAAACAAACAAAAACCCCAAAAACAUAAUGCUUAGUUUUUUAAAAAGUAAGAAGCAGAAUGAAAAAUACCACAUAGUACCAUUUAUAAAAUUAAAAGACAUGUAUAUAACACAAUACGUAUUUUAUAAGAAUACAAACAGAACAUCAAACAUGUUAGAGUGGCAAUCUAUGGGGAGGAGAACAAGAGUGGGAAAUGAGGAUAACGGGAAAUAAAUAGAUAACAAGAGAGGCUUGCACACAGCAAUGAGAACUAUAUGCCAUGAACUGAACAGCAUCAUACCUCCACCCUCUGCACAGAGGUCCAACUACAAAAACAAUGACCCCAAAUCUUAGAGCAGGGAGAUUGUAAUGGACUGCUCCAGUUACAGAGCCAGGGCCUGGACUUGAACCCAGGUGUCUUGCACCUGCCCCAGAGCAGCACGGAUGUAACUAGUCAGUGAAUUUUCAAUUCCUGAAAAGAUAUCUGCCACAUAGCUAACUCUCUUUAGGCUUCCACACUUUAAAGGCCUCCGGUAAUGACAUACUUUAUAUUUGAUCUUGAGGGACAAGUAGAUUUGCUCUAUUUAUUAUACGGCAAGCUCAAAUAUGAGCUAAACAACCGGCCACUCAUCUCUUCAUUCAGCAAGAUUUUUUUUUUUUUUUUUUUUCAGUGUUGAUUAUGUGCCAGGCAUUGGGCCAGGCAGAGGGCAAGUGGAGAUGAAUGAGCUCAAACUCUUGGCCUCCAUGAGCUCCCAGCCACUGAGCCAUUCUCUAACUACAGCUAGGCAGAUCUUUCUCCUCCUUAUGGCCACUUCGCAGCACUGCUGUAAGAGCAGAGAAGUGCAGCUCAAACCUGCCUAUGACUGUCUAAAGCACCGAUGAGCAUUUCCUAAGACAGUUUGGAUUUCCACCAGGAAAGUUUGCUGUAAUAGCAACAACACUGAUUUCCAUGAUGGGGGAUUUAAUUUUCUUGUAGCUAAUCUUUCAAAAGGAAGAAAGAACAACACAUACAGCAACAGCCCUAGUAAUUGUGGUAACAUCUGCCUCAGUGACUCAUGUGAUAAUGUCUCUUUCUGUGCAGGAGGUGAAUAUUUCAGAGACAUAUCAGGAAGGAGGCCAUUCUAGAAGCAAAGAAUGAAAGGUCAGAAUAGGGAUGUCUAGUGUGGCACUAAGGAAGUCAUAAACCCCCAGGCAUUGCAGGCUUGGUUGAGACGCUGUGGGAGUCACCUGACUCACCUCGAUAGUUUUGCAGGUGUCUUCCAGCUGGCUGAUCACUCCCUGGACUCGAUCGUUGCUGCCCACGAGGAUGGCGAUGCCAUCACUGAGCUCAGACUAAUGAAGAGAAAACAUGAACCCAAUAUCUUAGGGGUUUCCUAGCCACCCCGACUGUGAAUUGGUCAUAAUAUUGUCUUUACAGGUUCUUAAUUUAGGAUCCAUGCAACCCCUAAGGACUAACAGGGAGGCCUGUGGACCUUCUGAUAUUGCAAGCAAACCUUUGUGUAUGAAUCCAUUUGUGCAGGGAAAGGUUUCACAGUUUUCAUCAGUCUUAAUAUUAAGAUCAACAUGUUCAAGCUAAAGAAUUCUAAGUAUUGUUUAUAAAUAGCAUGGAGACCAAUAUGUGACUUCAGGGACCCAAAUGGAAUUAUUUGCCUAGUGGAACUAAGGGUCAAUUUUACUUGGGAAAUGUGUAUAGUAAAUACUCAUUUAUUCAACAAAUACUUAUUAUGGGCAUAAGAAUAUAGUGUAUACAGACACAAACACUCACACAUUAGACUAAGUCAUUACAAACUUCACACUGAAACAAAGAACUAGUUCUAGGGGAGAAAUGUCAACUUUUAAAUUCCUUUGCUCUUUUGACUUAGGAAGAGAUUCUAUUGUUCCUAUUUACCCCCUUCCCAAGACUGGCUGAUGGAGCCACCAGGAGCACUGGAGGGGCACUUGGGAGACCCAUGCGCUUGGUCCAACUCUACCCCCAACUUCUCUGUGAUGUUGGGCAAAACAUAUAUUCAAUUUUGACCCUAAUUUUCUCACAUUUAGAAGGAGAAGAUUGGACCAGAACAGUGAUUAUAAAAUAUUUUAAAGCUGCAGAACCUUCUUCAAGUGAAAGCUAAUAUGGAGGUGAAGCUGCUUUGGCCAAACAGGAGCAAGGGUGAGGGUCCCACCAGUCUGUUCUUCUGUCCAUCUCACAUGAGUCUCCAGGCUCUGAAGGAAGGAGUGUGAAACAGCUACCAUCCAGUUCUAUUAUGCUAUGCUUUGGGGGAGGUGGGCAGAAGAGAAGGGGGAAUAAAUUGUAACUGGAUUCAAAAAUAAACAAAUGUU